AACUAACGCUGGCGGCGUGCCUAACACAUGCAAGUCGUACGAGAAAGCCGGCUUCGGCUGGUGAGUAAAGUGGCGCACGGGUGAGUAACGCGUGGAUAAUCUGCCCUUAAGUGUGGAAUAACGUACCGAAAGGUGCGCUAAUACCGCAUAAUGCCUGGCAACACAAGUUGUCCGGCCAAAGAAGGCCUCUGUUUACAAGCUUUCGCUUCAGGAUGAGUCCGCGUACCAUUAGCUUGUUGGUGGGGUAAUGGCCUACCAAGGCUGCGAUGGUUAGCUGGUCUGAGAGGAUGAUCAGCCACACUGGAACUGAGACACGGUCCAGACUCCUACGGGAGGCAGCAGUGAGGAAUAUUGGUCAAUGGGCGCAAGCCUGAACCAGCCAUCCGCGUGCAGGAAGACGGCCCUAUGGGUUGUAAACUGCUUUUCCAGGGAGAGAAACUUACGCACGUGUUGCGUGACUGACGGUACCCUGGGAAUAAGCAUCGGCUAACUCCG
rnacentral:rRNA from 1 species